rnacentral:rRNA from 1 species
CAUAUCAAUAAGCGGAGGAAAAGAAACCAACAGGGAUUGCCUCAGUAACGGCGAGUGAAGCGGCAACAGCUCAAAUUUGAAAUCUGGCCUCACGGUCCGAGUUGUAAUUUGUAGAGGAUGCUUUUGGCGAGGUGCUUUCCGAGUUCCCUGGAACGGGACGCCAUAGAGGGUGAGAGCCCCGUACGGUAAGACCACCGAGCCUCUGUAAAGCUCCUUCGACGAGUCGAGUAGUUUGGGAAUGCUGCUCUAAAUGGGAGGUGUACGUCUUCUAAAGCUAAAUACCGGCCAGAGACCGAUAGCGCACAAGUAGAGUGAUCGAAAGAUGAAAAGCACUUUGAAAAGAGGGUUAAAAAGUACGUGAAAUUGUUGAAAGGGAAGCAUUCAUGACCAGACUUGGGCUUGGUUGAACAUCCGGCGUUCUCGCCGGUGCACUCUGCCAGUCCAGGCCAGCAUCAGUUUGCCCCGGGGGACAAAGGCGGUGGGAAUGUGGCUCUCUUCGGGGAGUGUUAUAGCCCGCCGUGUAAUGCCCUGGGGUGGACUGAGGAACGCGCUUCGGCACGGAUGCUGGCGUAAUGGUCAUCAAUGACCCGUCU